rnacentral:lncRNA from 1 species
CUAAUUGUACUUGUAAGGCCAGGUUACACAAUAUUAGUUUUAAGAAGCAAAAUAAACGAUCUUACAAAAAGUAUAAUGUGCAAAAUUUAAAGAUUAAACACGAGACUUCUUUUAGCCUAAACCCCGGAGGUUCGACGACCACAUUCAACGCCUAUAUCCCCUGUUGAGUAUCCAAUUAAUUGGAUUGUCCUUGGUUGCACUAAAUAGCCUAAAAUGGCAAUGAAAUGUUACAAAUGUUUUACCAAUAGACAAAGAUAGCACAAGAACACUAAUCGUUUGAGAACAAUAACAAAUCUAUGAAGAAUCACCAAGAAUCUUCUCAAACCCCUAUGAAAUAGCAACUCAAAGAACCCUCUCGUUCUUACAAACGUUCCCUUGAAAUAUCACAAAUAAGAGGCUAAGUAUUAAAGACAAUAGAUCUCAAUUCAGGAAUUUGAGAGAUGAAGAACAAAGAUGAAAACCUUAGCAGUCGAGAUAUUUCUCUCUUUCUUUCUCCUAAAAAACUAACAGCUAG